rnacentral:rRNA from 1 species
UACGUAGGCAGCGAGCGUUGUUCGGAGUUACUGGGCGUAAAGGGUGUGUAGGCGGUUGUUUAAGUUUGGUGUGAAAUCUCCCGGCUCAACUGGGAGGGUGCGCCGAAUACUGAAUGACUUGGAGUGCGGGAGAGGUGAGUGGAAUUCCUGGUGUAGCGGUGAAAUGCGUAGAUAUCAGGAGGAACACCGGUGGCGAAGGCGGGUCUCUGGGCAGUAACUGACGCUGAGACGCGAAAGCGUGGGUAGCAAACAGG